rnacentral:rRNA from 1 species
UACGUAGGGUGCAAGCGUUGCCCGGAUUUAUUGGGCGUAAAGAGCGCGCAGGCGGUCGAUCAAGUCGAGUGUGAAAGCCCCCGGCUCAACUGGGGAGGGUCACGCGAUACUGAUCGACUGGAAGGCAGGAGAGGGUAGUGGAAUUCCCGGUGUAGUGGUGAAAUGCGUAGAUAUCGGGAGGAACACCAGUGGCGAAGGCGACUACCUGGCCUGUUCUUGACGCUGAGGCGCGAAAGCUAGGGGAGCAAACGGG